GACGAACGCUGGCGGCGUGCCUAAUACAUGCAAGUAGAACGCUGAAGGAGGAGCUUGCUUCUCUGGAUGAGUUGCGAACGGGUGAGUAACGCGUAGGUAACCUGCCUGGUAGCGGGGGAUAACUAUUGGAAACGAUAGCUAAUACCGCAUAAGAGUAGAUGUUGCAUGACAUUUGCUUAAAAGGUGCAAUUGCAUCACUACCAGAUGGACCUGCGUUGUAUUAGCUAGUUGGUGAGGUAACGGCUCACCAAGGCGACGAUACAUAGCCGACCUGAGAGGGUGAUCGGCCACACUGGGACUGAGACACGGCCCAGACUCCUACGGGAGGCAGCAGUAGGGAAUCUUCGGCAAUGGACGGAAGUCUGACCGAGCAACGCCGCGUGAGUGAAGAAGGGUUUCGGAUCGUAAAGCUCUGUUGUAAGAGAAGAACGAGUGUGAGAGUGGAAAGUUCACACUGUGACGGCAUCUUACCAGAAAGGGACGGCUAACUACGUG
rnacentral:rRNA from 1 species